rnacentral:rRNA from 1 species
GUGAGGAAUAUUGGUCAAUGGGCGGGAGCCUGAACCAGCCAAGUCGCGUGAAGGAAGAAGGAUCUAUGGUUCGUAAACUUCUUUUGCAGGGGAAUAAAGUGCAGGACGUGUCCUGUUUUGUAUGUACCCUGAGAAUAAGGAUCGGCUAACUCCGUGCCAGCAGCCGCGGUAAUACGGAGGAUCCGAGCGUUAUCCGGAUUUAUUGGGUUUAAAGGGUGCGUAGGUGGUUUGAUAAGUCAGCGGUGAAAGUUUGCAGCUUAACUGUAAAAAUGCCGUUGAAACUGUCGGACUUGAGUGUAAAUGAGGUAGGCGGAAUGCGUGGUGUAGCGGUGAAAUGCAUAGAUAUCACGCAGAACUCCGAUUGCGAAGGCAGCUUACUAAGCUACAACUGACACUGAAGCACGAAAGCGUGGGGAUCAAACAGGAUUAGAUAUCCGGGUAGUCC